UUAAUAACUCCGCCUGUAGUUACUCCGGGGGCUAUUGCCGGUCCCAAGCCCGGGUAAAGGAGGAGGGUUGG
rnacentral:ribozyme from 2 species